AAUGGACGGUGAUGAAAAACUGCAAGAAAAAAACACCACCAUCUUUCGGGGUUGAUUGGCAUGGCCUUGGGCCAUGCUGCCAACUCUGCAAUUCUGAUGUCCAUU
rnacentral:snoRNA from 1 species